UACGUAGGGGGCAAGCGUUGUCCGGAUUUACUGGGCGUAAAGCGCGUGUAGGCGGCUUUGCAAGUCGGAUGUGAAAGCCCACGGCUCAACCGUGGAAGUGCAUCCGAAACUGCAUGGCUCGAGUCUCGGAGAGGAAGGUGGAAUGCUUGGUGUAGAGGUGAAAUUCGUAGAUAUCAAGCAGAACACCUGCGGCGAAGGCGGCCUUCUGGACGAUGACUGACGCUGAGACGCGAAAGCGUGGGGAGCAAACAGG
rnacentral:rRNA from 1 species